rnacentral:rRNA from 1 species
UGAGGAAUAUUGGUCAAUGGGCGGGAGCCUGAACCAGCCAAGCCGCGUGAGGGAUGAAGGCCCUAUGGGUCGUAAACCUCUUUUGUCAGGGAACAAAAGCGAGUAUGUAUACUAGUCUGAGUGUACCUGAAGAAAAAGCAUCGGCUAACUCCGUGCCAGCAGCCGCGGUAAUACGGAGGAUGCGAGCGUUAUCCGGAUUUAUUGGGUUUAAAGGGUGCGUAGGCGGCGAUGCAAGUCAGCGGUAAAAGCCCGGAGCUCAACCCCGGCGAGCCGUUGAAACUGCAGUGCUAGAGAAGGCGAGAGGUACGCGGAAUGCGCAGUGUAGCGGUGAAAUGCUUAGAUAUUGCGCAGAACUCCGAUUGCGAAGGCAGCGUACUGGCGCCUGACUGACGCUGAGGCACGAAAGCGUGGGGAUCGAACAGGAUUAGAUACC